GUUGAAGCCAGCUGGUUGUGUCGGCGUAGAACCAAAUACCCCCAAUAUGUCCUCUGGGUUGUACUCGAGAAGAGAGAGAGUUCGCUGAUAGAGUUCGCUGCUUCACUUUAUUGAAUAUUUGGCGCCUGGGUUUACUGGUAGAGUAACCAAAUCCUGUGGUCACCUAAAAACAUGACCUAUACAUGAAUGUAGUUGAACAAAAAGACACUUUCUUUUUUAAUUGAAACGCAAACGUCCUACUCCAAAAGAAGCGAAUCAAAGAUUGCUCUGGUGCUUUAUUAACUGCUGAAAAACACAACAAAGCCAGGAACCAAAUGAUUCCAUUUCAGGAGAGAAAAAAAAAAUCUCUUAACUUGACUCCGUUGCUGGCGAAAUGAGUCCAUUUUAAUAAUCCAAUUACUGGAUCUAUGAGGAGGAGGAGGAUUUGUUGGACAUUCAGAAUGUUUACCAAGAGAGAGUAAGUGAUGGAAUCUCGAAUGGAUCAGUUUGAGAUCAUGGAGCAGAUCGGUCG
rnacentral:misc_RNA from 1 species